AUAAAGCUAGGUUACCGGAG
rnacentral:miRNA from 1 species